GGAUCACCGGAGUCAGAAGAUUCCCAAGGAUAGGGUCCGAAUGCAUCAUCUCCAAGAAAACCGCCGGAGCCGGACGCCUUCGCAACGAACUUGACGGAACGGAUCGGCGAUUGACUCGGAAAAAGAGUCAACUUACGGAAAGAUGAAAAUGAUGAACCUGAGGAACAGGGAGGGUCUUUUAGGAGAGGAAUAGAAGAGACGGCGGAUAAACAGACGGCGGCGAUCUCCGGCAUUUUUUCCGGCGAGAGGCGAAUUUUU
rnacentral:misc_RNA from 1 species